rnacentral:sRNA from 1 species
UAGCAAACAUCCGACUUGCACACCAAAAU